UUGAAGAAUUUGAAGACUUCAACUUGCAUACUUUAAGGAUUUGAAUACUUCAACUUGCAUACUUAGAGGAUUCGAAUACAGCAACU
rnacentral:pre_miRNA from 1 species